CGCCUGUUUGGCCUGCUCACACCAGCGCUCUGAGGGGGAAGCUGCUCCUUGCUUUACCCCAUAAGUUUUUCUCCCUUUUUCUUCCUUUCCCCUCCAAAAAUAUCCCAGGUUCGAGCUCACCCUGCUUCAACUGCCCCAGAAUCCUUGGAGUUCUCAAGACUUUGCCCAGAGCAGCUGUUUUGUGAGUAGCAGCAGACACACUUAUACAUUAAUGAAGCCAGCACUUUAUCAGUUCACAUGUGGAAAGUUCUCUUUCCAACCAGGGUGUUUGGGGGGCAGGGUGUCUUUUUUUCAAUAAAAGAUGAAAUUCUGCAGAAGUUGAAGUCCAUCACCCGGAAAAGCUUCCUACUUGCCACAGUGCCAACAGCUGCAGACAAUGGUCCCUGUGAAGCAAAAAUGUAGUUGCUGGAUGCCUAGCGAGGAGAAAUGAAUGUGAACACCAGGACACCACAUUGAGGAGAGUAUGUAAACCUAACAAUGAAGAAAGUAGCAAGAGAUUGUUUCCAGUAAUACUUCUGGAGACAGGUCAGCA